rnacentral:tRNA from 1 species
GGGGUUGUGGCUCAGUGGUGGAGUACUCAAAUAGCAUGUGUGAGGCCCUGGGUUCGAUCCUCAGCACCACA